UACGUAGGGGGGCAAGCGUUGUCCGGAAUCAUUGGGCGUAAAGCGCGUGUAGGCGGCCAGGUAGGUCCGUUGUGAAAACUCGAGGCUCAACCUCGAGACGUCGGCGGAAACCAUCUGGCUAGAGUCCGGAAGAGGAGAGUGGAAUUCCUGGUGUAGCGGUGAAAUUCGUAGAUAUCGGGAGGAACACCAGUGGCGAAGGCGGCGAUCUGGGAAGAUACUGACGCUGAGGUGCGAAAGCGUGGGGAGCAAACAGG
rnacentral:rRNA from 1 species